rnacentral:lncRNA from 1 species
AUAGAUGUUGACAAACUGCAUCUGGCCCCCCUUUCCUCAAAAGGUGGAUUGAAAUAGAUACAACACUACUUGCAAGAAUUCGGCCAUUUGUCUUCUCCUCUACCCACUAUAUUUUGUGAAGAGCAUCUCAGAAAAUAAUUAGUCUUAUGAGUAAUAUGUAAAUAUAAAUUACAUUGAUAAAGUAAAAAAGGGGAUAAAAAAAAUUACAUCACGUAGAUUUGAAGAUUUAUAGCCAAAGGCAGCAUCUUUGGCAAACUCUGUGUCCCCAGCAGGAACAAGCCUGCAGACAAAAAGUUGAAGAAGCAGGAUUAUAACUUUGUACAUUCAUAAUUCCUUAUAGCUAGAUCAUGAAUGGAAAACAUACGUAUCAGAAUCAGAAACAAAAUGUAUAUCUUCAAUAGUGUAACGGCCUCCUUGAAGAAAAAAGGGACAAAUUAUCCAUGCAUCCAUUUCACCCAAUACUGAAAUGACAGCAUCUGGUUCCUGUGCACAACAGUCAUGUCAUUUUGCAAUUGAAACAUGAGUCUCAAUAUCAUUGAGUAAAAUAUACUUAUUAUAUUAAACAUGUCAUCCUUGCCUCUGGAAAAUGACCACGCAAAGUUGAAUCUCCCCUCAAAACUACUGUGUAAUCAAUGCUGUCAACAGAUUUUGCUGCACUGUCUAGAUUUUUGCAAAUCUCUUUUAUCAAUAUACUAGCCUGUCAGAUACCAAAUGUAAAUAAUUAACUUCAUUGAACUCAAUAUUACUGAUCUUUGAAAUAUCCAAUUGCUUGAAAUCUGGUUGGGAGAAAGGUUAUAUCCAUCUGGUUGCUUUUGAAGUACUUUAUGGGAUGGCACAUAGAUAUCGAGCUGCAACUAUUACAGCUCAAGACGUUAUUCAGCUCAAAUCUUGCAUGUCAAUAAUUAAGACACAUUUUCUUUCUACAUUAGUAGCAUGCUUUUCCAUUUACAGAGCAAUAAUUGUAUGUAGUCGGGUUUUAUGGCCCCAAACUAUGAAUCUGAUUAAGAUAAACAUGCAUGAAAUUAUUUUAUAUACGUUUAAACUUAUUAAAAGGAGGCAAGAUGGAUGAGAAAGUGUUUUAUACAUGAGGAGUAACAAAUUAAACUGUAAAGUGUUUUGAAUAAGUUUCUUGCAUUCUUAUGCACGAACAGUGAACACUCAGGUCAACUUGUUCUUGUGUCCCCAUAAAAAACUUCAUGAAUUUAUUGAUCAACAACAUAUUUCUCACUUGAUGGUGCAUAGCUAACAACACGAUCUUGAUUUGAAGAGCGCCUUGGUGAUCGACCCAAAAAGGUGUAAAUAUUGUGACUAUGCUGGUAUUUGUAAAUAAAAUAGUGCCCAUAUAAACUAGUGGCAAUUUUUCAAAAAAAUGUAAGGUCAAUAGGACAAAGGAGGUAUCAUAUUUUCCAUAUCAUAAUGCAAGUUCACUGAGUCAUUUAGAGUACCUUUGCAAUUAUAUAGCGAGGUUUUGUUGUUAUUCUUUUCAUUAUUUCCACCAGCGCAGAACUCACUUUAAAGUUAAUAUCCAAACUCUCAGAGGCAGCUGCAAAGUUGAAAAUAAACCAGAAGAUAAGAAUGAAGAACAUAAAAUUAUCUCCCCAUUUAAAUGCACUACUGUAUUUUGAAUGGUCAUAAGAAGGACAUUGGUUAGAGCUGACCUUGAAAGCUAAAACAAUUCUAAUAUCAAAGUCUAACCAAGCAAGAUGUAGAGAGAGAAUGAACAAAAGAGAGAAAAACAAACUUUUUCCAGUUAUGAGAUUUCGACUAGUCACUAUAAGAGUGUCUUUAUGAGCUUUAAGAUAUACAUCUGCCAAUUCAGCUGUUCUACUGAUUUCCUCCUCCCGCUCCUCAAUAGAUCUCAUUGCAACUUUUUCAACAGAUACCUAUAACAAUGAAAUCCUAAUCAGACCAGCAGAUGAAAUUUGAAAGAAAAAUUACUAUAUUGCAUUAGGCAUAUGUUUAGUUAAAGAUAGCUAGAGUGAUUAUUUUGGUAAACAGUUGUUAGUUAGUUGAUGUAAGACAGUUAUAAUCUGUAACGGAUUCUGAAUUCUGAUAGAAGCUUCACAACCUACAUAAGGCUAGGAUAAAAAAUUAACAAAGAAAAUGAUGAAGAGAAAUUUUGGAUGGUGAUCACCUCAAUGCUUCUUAAGAACUGACCACAUUGUAGUUUAAGCUCUUCAACCUGGGUUUAUAAGCAUGAGACAAGAUGAGAAAAUGAGUAUGCUUGGGAGAUUUGAUUUCAAUCACUUAAUUUCAUUCUUUACCUGCUUUGUUGUUUUUGGAACAUAUGAUCCCACAACUAUCAAACCACCAUUUCUUUCUCUAACUAUUCCUAUAUCCUUUGGCAAUACUGGAGGCUUGGAGAUGAUUCCAAUCCGGGCAGAAACAAAACUAGCAGCAGCGCGACACAAGAAACGUUUUCCCAUCAAUUCUGCCUGUUAACAAGAUAAAACAGUGCAAGGAGAACAUUUACGUCAGUAACAUAACAAGCAAAAUGGGCAAAAAAAAGGGCACAAAAGAGAAGAAAGAAGUUUACCCUGAUCAUUCCAAGUGCAAAUACAGCCAUGUCUCUUUCACUAGCUGCGUUAACUACACAUAUUGAUCCCUGUUUAAUACAAUAGGCAAGAUCGAAGUAAGUGGAUCGAAUAGAACUACUUAUUCAUUCAUGAUAUCUUACCUAUAAAAAGUAAUGCCACGUGUUCUUAGACACGAAAGAGCAUUAACUAUAUCUAAUUAUAUACCUUCUGCAAACUGCAUAGAUGUUGACAAACUGCAUCUGGCCCCCCUUUCCUCAAAAGGUGGAUUGAAAUAGAUACAACACUACUUGCAAGAAUUCGGCCAUUUGUCUUCUCCUCUACCCACUAUAUUUUGUGAAGAGCAUCUCAGAAAAUAAUUAGUCUUAUGAGUAAUAUGUAAAUAUAAAUUACAUUGAUAAAGUAAAAAAGGGGAUAAAAAAAAUUAC